GUAGCCGACAUCAUAAGGAACGGCAAGAUGUGCGGAAUAUUUAUAAUCGAUCUUGUUGGGACCACCCAGUAUAAAACCGAUAAUUUAGUGGUGAAAGCCACCCUCAUGAACAUAACUGACAACCAAGAUGGAGUACAGCACUUCCGGGCGCGUACAAUACGCAGGAGAACCAGGUAGACCGGUCACGGCACAGAAGCCAAACAACAUAGAAUGUUGACACGAGUUUGCAAUUCUAAUUCGAUUUUCGUAAGAUUUCUUCAGUGCGGUCAGAGCAAGAGCGGACAUGUGGUGAUGAAAUGAGGAGCUGGGUCACAAGGGAUUGAAGUGGGGAAUGCCUGCAAGAGACUCGUGAACUCCAUAAAGGGGGGACCCAGGCCAACAACUUUCGCGCAGCCAAGAGUAACUCUCAAGAGGCUUCUUGAGUAUGGAAUCACAGAAACAAUGCUUGUCAAAGAACGGGAAAAGUAGCUGAUUAGUACUUAAACGUAGCUGCACUGGCAGAUGAAAUUGGGAAUGGAUGUUUCUUUAGCUUGUACACAUUUACGCCAUGAACUAUGAUCCAGCAGUUGAUCGUGGUA